UACGGAGGGUCCGAGCGUUAUCCGGAAUUAUUGGGUUUAAAGGGUCCGUAGGCGGGCCGGUAAGUCAGGGGUGAAAGUCUGCCGCUCAACGGUAGAACUGCCCUUGAUACUGUCGGUCUUGAGUUAUGGUGAAGUUGCCGGAAUAUGUAGUGUAGCGGUGAAAUGCAUAGAUAUUACAUAGAACACCGAUUGCGAAGGCAGGUGACUAACCAUAUACUGACGCUGAUGGACGAAAGCGUGGGGAGCGAACAGG
rnacentral:rRNA from 1 species